rnacentral:rRNA from 1 species
GAUGAACGCUGGCGGCGUGCCUAAUACAUGCAAGUCGAGCGAACAGACGAGGAGAUUGCUCCUCUGACGUUAGCGGCGGACGGGUGAGUAACACGUGGAUAACCUACCUAUAAAACUGGGAUAACUUCGGGAAACCGGAGCUAAUACCGGAUAAUAUAUUGAACCGCAUGGUUCAAUAGUGAAAGACGGUUUUGCUGUGACUUAUAGAUGGAUCCGCGCCGCAUUAGCUAGUUGGUAAGGUAACGGCUUACCAAGGCAACGAUGCGUAGCCGACCUGAGAGGGUGAUCGGCCACACUGGAACUGAGACACGGUCCAGACUCCUACGGGAGGCAGCAGUAGGGAAUCUUCCGCAAUGGGCGCAAGCCUGACGGAGCAACGCCGCGUGAGUGAUGAAGGUCUUCGGAUCGUAAAACUCUGUUAUUAGGGAAGACCAAAUGUGUAAGUAACUAUGCACGUCUUGACGGUACCUAAUCAGAAAGCCACGGCUAACUACGUG